rnacentral:lncRNA from 1 species
UUAGUAGUUUACCCCUUUUAUCAUCUUUGUAUUUGAUGAUUUAAGAUGUUGAUGUGUAAAGCAAAGUAAAGAAAAGAAUGUAAUGUUCAUUUUGAGGUAAAUGUAAUGUAAAAGAAAUGAUGAAAGAAUGUAAAGAUUUUGGAUGUACAAGUUGGAUAGAUACAACGUAUGUGAUCAAAAUGAAUCAUAGUACUAGUUGAAUGU